UGGGGAAUAUUGGACAAUGGGCGAAAGCCUGAUCCAGCAAUGCCGCGUGAGUGAAGAAGGCCUUAGGGUUGUAAAGCUCUUUCGCCUGCGACGAUGAUGACGGUAGCAGGAGAAGAAGCCCCGGCUAAUUCCGUGCCAGCAGCCGCGGUAAUACGGAAGGGGCUAGCGUUGUUCGGAAUCACUGGGCGUAAAGCGCGCGUAGGCGGCUUGGCAAGUGAGGCGUGAAAGUCCUGGGCUCAACCCGGGGACUGCGCUUCAGACUGCUUGGCUUGAGUCCGGAAGAGGGUGGUGGAAUUCCGAGUGUAGAGGUGAAAUUCGUAGAUAUUCGGAGGAACACCGGCGGCGAAGGCGGCCACCUGGUCCGGAACUGACGCUCAAGUGCGAAAGCGUGGGGAGCAAACA
rnacentral:rRNA from 1 species